UACGUAGGGGGGCAAGCGUUGUCCGGAUUUAUUGGGCGUAAAGAGCUCGUAGGCGGUUUGGUAAGUCUGGUGUGAAAUCUCCGCGCUCAACGUGGAGGGGCCACCCGAUACUGCCAUGACUGGAGUCCGGUAGAGGAGUGUGGAAUUCCCGGUGUAGCGGUGAAAUGCGUAGAUAUCUGGAGGAACACCGGUGGCGAAGGCGGCAUCCUGGACCGACACUGACACUGAGGAGCGAAAGCCAGGGAGCAAACGGG
rnacentral:rRNA from 1 species